GGGUGCUGCUCGCAAAUUAGCUACACAGAGAAAGAAUAUAGAGGUCGUUGAAUCUGUUGGUGUAGCAGCGAAGCGAGUGAAGCUGCCAGCCUAUUUAAUUAAAAAAGAAGGGAUCUUGCACUUUUAUUAAAACACGACCAGCAGCAACAGCGACUAGCGUUCCCUUUUCAACUUCAACAGAGAUUCAGUGGCAACAGGUAUGUGAUGAUUUCUUCCUCCUCCUUCUUCUUCUUCUUCUUAUUCUUCUUCAGCGUCCAAAUAGCAGUGAAAUACUGGCGAAUUUUUUUUUACCUUCGAUUCUUCUUUCUAAGUCUUCUCCUCUUCGCUAAAAUGCUGCCUAGUUCUUCUUUCAUUGUUUUUAUGCCGCCCAGUUUUAACAGAAUGGUAUAUUGCCCUUCCUCUGAAUAUCAUAAGGAGGUUCAACUUCGGAAUUCAUGGUUAGGAGCAGUUUUCUAAGUAUUUCCCACUGAUGAUAUGUAUCUAUUAAGUUAUUAUUUUCUGGGGGUGAACUGGGGUGCAAAAGACACUAUUCAUUACUAACUAGUAAAGGGCUGCAAGAUGAACUAGGGUGCAA
rnacentral:lncRNA from 1 species